rnacentral:rRNA from 1 species
UGCAGUCGAGGGGCAGCACAGGUAGCAAUACUGGGUGGCGACCGGCAAACGGGUGCGGAACACGUACGUAACCUUCCUUUAAGUGGGAGAUAGCCCGAAGAAAUUCGGAUUAAUACCCCAUAAGAUUGUGGAGUGGCAUCACUCAGCAAUUAAAGAAAUUCGCUUAAAGAUGGGCGUGCGGCUGAUUAGGUAGUUGGUGAGGUAACGGCUCACCAAGCCAACGAUCAGUAACUGGCGUGAGAGCGCGACCAGUCACACGGGCACUGAGACACGGGCCCGACUCCUACGGGAGGCAGCAGUAAGGAAUAUUGGUCAAUGGACGCAAGUCUGAACCCGCCAUGCCGCGUGAAGGAUGAAGGUCCUCUGGAUUGUAAACUUCUUUUAUAUGGGAAGAAACCACUUUUUUCUAAAGGUGUUGACGGUACCAUAGGAAUAAGCACCGGCUAACUCCGUGCCAGCAGCCGCGGUAAUACGGAGGGUGCAAGCGUUAUCCGGAUUCACUGGGUUUAAAGGGUGCGUAGGCGGAUUAGUAAGUCCGUGGUGAAAUCUCCGAGCUUAACUCGGAAACUGCCGUGGAUACUAUUAAUCUUGAAUACUGUGGAGGUUAGCGGAAUAUGUCAUGUAGCGGUGAAAUGCAUAGAUAUGACAUAGAACACCAAUUGCGAAGGCAGCUGGCUACACAGAGAUUGACGCUGAGGCACGAAAGCGUGGGGAUCAAACAGGAUUAGAUACCCUGGUAGUCCACGCCCUAAACGAUGAUUACUCGACAUUUGCGAUAUACAGUAAGUGUCUGAGCGAAAGCAUUAAGUAAUCCACCUGGGAAGUACGACCGCAAGGUUGAAACUCAAAG